AUCAAAAUUGACGAAAUUAAAAAUAUUGUAACAACACAAAAAAUUAUGAUUUUGAUAGCACAUCUUAUGUGUACACCCAUUGUAGUCACACAAAGAAAAAUGAUACUGGCUAUACACUCAUAUCCACAAGCUCUUUUGCAUGAACUUUCACUGAAAGAGGUUUUGCUACCAAAUGUGGGUCAAGUUAGAAAAACUUUUGUGCAAACGAUAUCUCGUUCGCUGGAUAAAAGACGCUGGAAAUAGGUCGAAGACAUUCUUCUUCUAAUAUCUCGUUGAUCUGGAGAAGUUGGCGAGAACUUUCGCUGAUAUCCGGUCUCGACUGGACUUCCGGUAUUCACAGUAGGCAGACCGAGACCGUGCGUCAGUCUCCGACGAAUGUCGUGAUUCAACCUCGCUCCGUUUACGUCUCAUUGUAGCUCUCUCGGACGAUGAUUAAGAAAAAAAGAAAGUCGUGUGCCUAACCUAACCUAUGCCAAACGGACGGACCUUCGCCCACGGAUCUACUUUCUUGAGAAAUUACUGGAAUCUAAUGAUGGAAUCAGGUGACGACCAAACCGACGAGACUAGCAAAGGAUUUUGGUGAAAGCCGACGACCCCAAGAGGGGAGAGUAUAUAGGCUGCGUUUCGUUUCUGGCUUUGUGAACGACGUCUAAGCAACGCAAGAAACUACGAGCUGCGACGACCGAAUCAUAAGUGCCAAGUGUGUGUGCCAAUAGGAUUAUAAUCCGACCUUAUCAUCGAAGGAACAAAAUACGAGCAAAAGGUUGGUGAUAAUGUGAUCAGUGAUACAUAACGGCAUGGUGGUGCAUUUUUUAAGUAAAUCAUUUUUAAAACGUGACGAUAUUUCUAUUUGAUGUGAUCAGUUGGAGAUUCUUUCUGUGGUGUUCUCUCGUUUUGGGGAUGAAUUGUUUUCUUUCUUCUCGAGAAUCAGGCUGUUGAUAAUUACGAGCUGUUCGAUGUUGUUUUAAUGGAAGAGACUUUCUUUGCGAUGUAGUUUAAUGAGCAUUAUGUUCAAAAGGGGUAAAAAGUGGGUCGAAUCGCUGAUGGAUGACUGUAUCAUGUAACUGAUAUGGUCUGAAGCUUAUUUUGAAUUAGGGUUUCAUGGAUUUUAAUAUUUGAAUGUUGUUCAAAACUAUAUCUUUUACAUGUAAGGAGGAACUUGUACUGUACUCGUUAACUGUUCGGUAGGAGUUUGUACUGUUCUCGUUAAUUGUGCUAUAGAAACUUCUACUGUACUUGCUAAAUGUACUUCAGAACCAUACUUGAUAAUUGUGGUAUAGAAAUUGUCUUCUAGUACAAAUCCGACUUGUUAUUAAUUGUACUUGUUAUGAAAAUUAUACCAUUCUUCAUAACUGCGUGACUGGACUUAUACUAUACUUGUUAACUGCACUUCAAAAAUUGUACCAUUCUUGUUAAUUGUGUUAUAGGAAUUGUCUUCUGGUACAAAUCUGAUGACUUCUUAUUAAUUGUACUAUAAAAAUUAUACUGUUCUUCUUAACUGUGUUAUAAGACUUAUAUUGCACUUGCUAACUGCACUUAAAAAAUUGUAACAUUCUUAUUAUAAUAUAGGAACUAUUUUCCUUUGGAAGACUUGUAAACAUUGAACUCAUUGUACUUGUUGUACAAGUUUGCAAUUGUACUACAAAAAUUGUACCAUACUUGCUAACUGUGCUAUGAGUCUAGUACUGUACUUGCUAACUGCAUUUUCAAAGUUGCACCAUUCUUGUUAAUUGUGUUAUAGGACCUAUUCUCCUCUGGUACAAAUGUGAAGACUUGUAAUCAUUGAACUCAUUCUACUCAUUAUACAAGUCUAUAAUCGUCCUACAAAAAUUGUACCAUACUUGCUAACUGUGCUAUAAGUCUUGUACUACACUUGCUAACUGCACUUCAAAAAUUGUACCAUUCUUUUUAAUUGUGAUAUAGGAACUGCCCUCCUCUGCAAGACUUGUAAUCACUAAACUUAUUGCAUUGGUAUACAAUCAUCCUAUAAAAAUUGUACCAUACUUGGUAACUAUGCUAUAAGUCUUGCACUGUACUUGCUAACUGCACUUCAAAAAUUGUACCAUACUUGUCAAUCGUAUUAUAUAAAUACUCUUCUACUACAACUACAAAGAUUAAUUAUACAAUACUCGUUAAUCAUCCUAUAAAAAGUGUCCACAAGUGUCUUCAGAUACAAAACAUGAACACCUUUAACUCUCCUCAGUACUCUGCAUAAAACGAACUCGUCAUUGCUCCAUACACAUACAGUCAUAAAAUAGAAAACUACAUAAAAAAUCUGAAAAGUUUUUGGGGAAGAUGCUCCAGACGGAUGUGUUCGUUACAUCGUAACUUCCUUCUUGUCCCCACUCAGGUUCCUCUGAAUACACGUUGAGAAGGCAAAAGGGUAUGUGGGGUAGCGAGUCAGUGUGUCAGCGUUCUCACGUCUCUCUUCGAGGCGUCCUUCCUUCUCCGGUUCUAUGUCGAGAAUAAGGCCGCGUGUAGGCAGAGAAAGAUCCUCCAACGAACUCUUCGCAACGGAGACAGACACACUGCUCGAUACGUGCCGACAAAAAGGACGGAUUCAUUCUGAAUUUCACCAGAACGAUUCUCCACAUCUAUCCCGUCUAUGCAAGAUGAGUCUCCUGAUAAAUGGCCGAUGAUUUAGAACCAUAAUCGAGUUCAAUGGUCGACUUCCGAGUCAUAGAAACACUUAUUCUUCUUCACAUCUCUUUUCCUCUUUUUUUUGAAAAUUUACU